CCGCUGCAUCCCGAAAAAGCGCGAAUUCACGUCAGCCUCUGCCGGAAGUCACUGUUGUGAGUGAAGCUCAUCUUCCCGCCUACGAGCGAACAAGGACGCCAUCCGAAGACACCGAGAGCAGGAAGCUGAUUUGUCUAAACCUGUGCUUUCUUUCAUAGUGUGCAUGAAUAUAAAGUACAGCGAAUACCUGGACAACAUACAGACAGUGAGCAGAAGAUUACUGAAUACAGGAGGGGGUCUGACAUCUGACCCCAGCCUCAUCAGUCCUACCCCUGGACCCGUCCCAUGGCAUGUUCCGCAGUGAGAUCACCAGAUGGCAAGAAGACCUGAGCCCUAACCGGCUUCCUUAUUCCUCUCUAGACCACGCCCUCCUCCUGACCUCACUUCCCUCCUGGACCCGCCUCUUCCUCUCCGCUGCCUAUAAAAACCUGACCACUCUCUUUCUGUGUCAGUCCCAUGUUGGAUAUGGCCUCUUGUGGCUACUCGCUUGCAUUACAUUAUAC